ensembl:lncRNA
UCAUGGUGUCAUUCCUGAACAUAGAAGUAGGACACAUGUGGGUGAUAGCAAGGUCAAGGGUAUGAUUAUUUUUCUGUAGCUAAGGUGAAGUAAAAGGAACUGGUUAGAUUGAGGAACAGGGAGUUUAGGAUAUUUGAGGGAAUAUCAAUAUGUAUGUUGAAUUAUCCUAAUACAAAAGGUAGUAAUUGGUUUUAGAAAAGGAAUGUGAGCCAGGCACUAGACUCAUUGAGGAAAGAAGAAUGCUUUAGACCACCAAGAUUUGAUUUGGAUAAUAAAUUUGAAUAGUGUCAAUCUCAAAGGAGCAGAGGCUACUGUAUUAGAGGGUUGGUUUGGGUAUAAUGGAGAAAGAAUAGAUGAUCCCAAAAAGUAGAAGGAGGGUGAGAUGUAUUACCCCCUUCAAUCUUCUUCAAAUAUGUCUCUCCACUAACCCUGCCUUUACUCCCCUCUAAUAACUGAUUUAACGAGUGAACCUUUUCUCUUGGGGAAAGAGAGAGAAAUCAGCUCUCUCCCCCUUCAAUAUGACAAGGAAGCCAAUUUAGGAUAACUGACAACUUUUAUUCUAACAAAUUGUGGUUAGGGGUAAGACAAGAAAGAUGUAUGCAGGUUGGAUUUUAUAGGAAAGAGGGUAAGGAAGUCCCUGUCUGACUAAAAAUAUCUUUCUUCCUCCCCCCAAAGUUGAGAGACCCAGGCUUGUCAGCCUGGUCUCUAAGAGGCUCAGGGUUUGUGACCCCUGGUCUUUAACCCAGCAGAGCCAAUGUCCAAACUUAGGGUAUAACAGGAGCUGUGUGAGAUCUGAUGCUGUUCUUAUUCUUCUCAGUUUUUGCCACAAUUCUUGGUAUUUGGGGGGGGGUAUGGUGGUUAGGUUCAAUGAGGGAUUUGUAUGGCUCAGGAGAGAAAUCUCUGAUCAGCCUGUCACCCUUGGUUUUUUCAGGCAAGAGAGAGAUCAACUGUCUCCCACCUGGAAUCUCUCUUCCCUCAAGAUUCCAAGCCUCCUCCACCUUCCCCUGCUGUAAGCCUAAUGAUUUUCCAAGAAGGGUAUCUUCACUUCGAUGUGAGAUGAAUUAAAGUGAGGCAGAGUUGCACAAAAUCAUAAGCCUCACUUCUUUCUUCCAGUUAUCUAAGUUCACUGUCACUACAAAAGUCAAGAUGACUGGGUGAUGCUCCAGGAUGAAGUAAAUGACCUUGGCAUCUUCAAUAUCUGAACAAUAUCUGCUUCGUCUGCCAUCAUGGUUGUUGGAUCAAAUUGCUUUCUUUUGCCUACUACACCAGAAGAAGUCUUCACAUGUGUGGCACAGAUGACUUUGUAACUUACUGAUAGAUAUAAGACCAUUGGCUAGCCUCAACCUGGUUUAUCCCAUCUGCUGAGACAGUUUUCCUGGCAGGUGGCCGAUGCCCAUGCUACAGCUUCUUCAAGCCACAGGAGAGAGUUGGCUGAUAGGUGGAUACCACAGGGGAAUGAAUAACCCUGAAAAGGGCUUGACAAGCCCUCACACUAGAGGUACUAGAGCUUCUUGAACAUCCCAAACAAAAUGUAACCAGUACUGGAAAGAUUAGCCAGGAAAGAAGCAGCCAGUUUUAAAGGAGUCCCAGAAAAUGGAAGGAGGGGGAAAGGAAAAAAGAUUAAGAUGAAAGCUUGACACUGCUGCCACCUCUCUUAGCAAGGGUAGGACCAUGUUCAGAGUGACUGAGGACCCAUGGCUCCCCUCCCAUUGGAAGGAAGCCUACAAUAGCUUGUUUUCCUCAAUUAAACGUUAGUCACAUGUGGGAAAGAGUAAAUAAUUCUGGUUGGCUGGUUAAAAACUUGAAUGCCUCCCCACCAAUCUGGCUUAAUAGCCAAUCCAAAAUCUAUUUCUUCACCAUGUGGUUAGUUCCUGAAACUUAUUAUAGAAUGUACAUACCUGCUCCAAUACCCACUUAGGGAUUCAUUAGCGGCAUACACUGAAUGUGUUCUUGAAGCCUGGGCUCAUGGCCAAUCUUCCCUCCCACCUUCCUUACCCAUGGGAGGUUUUGUUAUUUUUCUUGCCCUCAGGGGGCAGAAUUGGAAACAAUGGGAAGGCAUUCAAAUGACUUCAAAUAUCAGGCUGAGAAAUAAAGAUAUGAAGGUG